CCUACGGGGGGCAGCAGUGGGGGAUAUUGCACAAUGGGGGGAACCCUGAUGCAGCGACGCCGCGUGGGUGAACGAGUGCUUCGGCAUGUAAAGCCCUAUCGGCAUGGAAGAAGCAAGACGGUACCUGACUAAGAAGCCCCGGCUAACUACGGGCCAGCAGCCGCGGUAAUACGUAGGGGGCGAGCGUUAUCCGGAUUCACUGGGUGUAAAGGGAGGGUAGACGGCCAUGCAAGCCAGGGGUGAAAGCCCGGGGCUCAACCCCGGGACUGCCCUUGGAACUGUGCGGCUAGAGUGCGGGAGGGGCAGGCGGAAUUCCUGGUGUAGCGGUGAAAUGCGUAGAUAUCAGGAGGAACACCGGCGGCGAAGGCGGCCUGCUGGACCGCGACUGACGUUGAGGCUCGAAAGCGUGGGGAGCGAACAGGAUUAGAUACCCCAGUAGUC
rnacentral:rRNA from 1 species